AUGAGUAUUCUGGCCUGGAACUGUCGAGGCCUGGGGUUGGACUCGACAGUUGGCGAGCUUCGAGACCUGAUACGGUCCUACAACCCAGCGGUGGUGUUUUUGUCGGAAACAAAGAAAUCAGCAAAGGCUAUGGAGAGACUCAAGUGGAGAGUAGGUUUCUGACAUGGAGUUGCGGUGGAUUGUGUUGGGAAGAGCGGAGGGCUUGCUUUGUGGUGGAGAGACCAUGUGAAUGUAACAGUC
rnacentral:rRNA from 1 species